UACGGAGGAUCCAAGCGUUAUCCGGAUUUAUUGGGUUUAAAGGGUGCGUAGGCGGCCUGUUAAGUCAGGGGUGAAAGACGGUAGCUUAACUAUCGCAGUGCCCUUGAUACUGUGGGCUUGAAUGUACUAGAGGUAGGCGGAAUGUGACAAGUAGCGGGUGAAAAUGCAUAGAUAUGUCACAGAACACCCAAUUUGCGAAGGCAGCUUCUAUGGUAUGAUUACUGAGGCACGAAAAGCGUGGGGGGAUCAAAACAGGAUUUAGAAA
rnacentral:rRNA from 1 species